AAGAAAUGGGUUGAGUAAGUAAGCAUCCUCCGAUCUCCUCACCUCUUUCGUUCAUUCCUCUUGAAUCUCACAUAUCCAAUUAGGGCUCAGGACACGUUAAAGAGGAAAUUAAUCACUGAAGACGAUUACAACUGGAAAUUGGGGGAAUCAGAAGAAGAUGAGAGCAGUGGAGUACAAGUGUUGAAGUAUAUAGGUGGAUUUGAUAUCAGUUUCUCUAAACAUCACCCCUCUUCAGCCUGCGGAACUCUCGUUGUUUUGGAUUUCAAAACCCUAAAUGUUGUUUAUGAGGAUUCCUCAAUCGUUACGAUCGAUGUUCCCUAUGUUCCUGGAUUUCUUGCCUUCAGAGAGGCUCCAGUAUUUGUACAACUUUUGAAGAAAAUGCAGGAUUCUUCUCAUUCUUGCUACCCUCAGGUGCUGCUUGUCUCUGUGGUUUGAUCGUAGCCUUUCUUUUUUCUGCAACAUGUGACUAAAUGAUAAGCUAUGCAUGCAGCUACCAAAAGUUAAUUUGACACGUGUACACAGAAUCUGAAUCUCAUUAUCAAGUUUACUCUUUGAAGCCACUUUUUUAACUAACUUGACAUCUUUUUCUUUUUGUCAUAAUCAGUUGUUGAUGAUCGAUGGAAAUGGAAUACUUCAUCCUAGAGGCAUGUGCUUCUGUUAAAGCUAUCUUUGUAGCCUAAAUUCUGGGCUUUGUUUGGUGUGUCCUUAUAGUUGGGGAUCUAAUGCUUUUGGUAGUUAAGGUGAUUUUGAUGGUAUUAGAUAAAACGACUAGCCAAAUUUUUGUUUGAAAUUUCCAAUUUUUUUUCUGCUAAUUUAGGGCUUAAGAGGGCUUUUGGUAUAUCACAGCCUUAAAAUAAAACGGUCUUCUUUUUCAGUUAUUUCAAGCGACGUCGACUUCUUAUUUUAUUCCAGAACAAUCAUGAUUCACAUUAGUUUUUACUUGAGAACUUGAUAGUUUAAAACCAACAAAAAUAGUAUGUAAGAAAGCAUGUUAAGAUCAACUAUACGUGUAAAAGAAAGUACGUUAAGAACGUGAAUGAUUAACCACACAGGUGAAUUUGUACCUAAUUUUGAUAGGUUGCCUUCCUCAUAUCGUUGGUUUUAAUACGUGACAGAAUGGUGAGUGAUUAUUUUCUACACCAUGUUGGUAUCAAGUAUGCUGCAUUUAUUAAACUUUUUAUAUGCAGGCUUUGGCUCAGCUUGCCAUCUCGGUGUUCUUGCUGAUCUCCCCACAAUCGGCGUAGGGAAGAAUACAGUUGCAUCAUGUGGAUGGUCUUACCAACUCCAGAGUAAGGGAGCUUCUAGAAGCUGAAGACAACUUCAACGUAGGCUUCAUCCCUUUAGUUGGGGACUCAGGGAACACUUUAGGAGCAGCAUUACAUUCAAGUAAAGGGUCAUUUAAACCAAUAUUUGUUUCAGUUGGCCACCGCGUAUCUCUUGCUUCUGCUGUUGAAAUCGUUAAAAGAACAUGCAAAUACCGUGUGCCAGAGCCCAUCAGGCAGGCUGACAUAAGAUCAAGAGACUAUCUUCGGAAGCAUCAUUGAAGGUUACAAUAGGUGCUGUCAUUGUAUUAUUCUAAUAAUCUUCUUUCUUGUUGUUUGAAAAGUUCACUGUUUAUAAUUAAUAUCUGAUUUAUGAAUAUAAAAGCUAAGCAUCUGGGUUAA